rnacentral:rRNA from 1 species
GAUGAACGCUGGCGGCGUGCCUAAUACAUGCAAGUCGAGCGAUCGGACGAGAAGCUUGCUUCUCUGAUGUUAGCGGCGGACGGGUGAGUAACACGUGGAUAACCUACCUAUAAGACUGGGAUAACUUCGGGAAACCGGAGCUAAUACCGGAUGAUAUUUUGAACCGCAUGGUUCAAAAGUGAAAGACGGUCUUGCUGUCACUUAUAGAUGGAUCCGCGCUGCAUUAGCUAGUUGGUAAGGUAACGGCUUACCAAGGCAACGAUGCAUAGCCGACGUGAGAGGGGGAUCGGCCACCCUAGAACUGAGACACGGUCCAGAGUCCUAAGAGAGGCAGCAGUAGGGAAUCUUCCGCAAUAGGCGAAAGCCUGACGGAGCAACGCCGCGUGAGUGGUGAAGGUCUUCGGAUCGUAAAACUCUGUUAUUAGGGAAAAACAUAUGUGUAAGUAACUGUGCACAUCUUGACGGUACCUAAUCAGAAAGCCACGGCUAACUACGUG